rnacentral:lncRNA from 1 species
AACUCGAGAAGCGCCUGACAGAGCUGGAGGCCACUGUCCGCUGUGAUCAGGAUGCUCAGAAUCCCCUUUCUGCAGGUCUACAGGGAGCCUGCCUUAUGGAAACGGUAGAACUGUUACAGGCCAAAGUGAACGCCCUGGACCUUGCAGUUCUGGACCAAGUAGAGGCUCGACUGCAGAGUGUCCUGGGAAAGGUGAAUGAGAUUGCUAAGCACAAGGCAUCUGUGGAGGACGCAGACACACAGAAUAAGGUCAGGAACUGUCUUCUCUAUCUCUACCCCACUGUGCUCCCCCAGGCUCCUCCACUGAGGGGUAACAUCCAAAUGUAGGGACUUUGCAGCCUCAGGUCUUAUCAGCUGAGAGAGUUGAAGGAGCACCUUCCCUCUGCCAGCUGUCCUUUUCCCAGUCUGUGACGGCAGUGUCCCCUCUGGGCCUGCACACU